rnacentral:rRNA from 1 species
GGGGCUGAAGGCGGUCCCAAGGGUUGGGCUGUUCGCCCAUUAAAGCGGCACGCGAGCUGGGUUCAAACCGGCGUGAGCCAGGUUGGUCCCUAUCUGCUGUGGGCGUAACAACAUUGCGAGGAUUCUUCUCUAGUACGAGAGGACUUGGAAGGACGUACCCCUGGUGCGCCGGUUGGUCUGCUAAGGCCACAGCCGGGUAGCUAAGUACGGCAGGGAUAACUACUGAAAGCAUCUAAGUAGGAAGCCCCCCUCAAGAUCAGUGUUGUAUUGAGUCCCCAAGUAGACCACUUGGUUGAUAGGCGGGGGGUG